UUAAACUGAAGAGUUUGAUCAUGGCUCAGAUUGAACGCUGGCGGCAGGCUUAACACAUGCAAGUCGAGCGGAGAUGAGGUGCUUGCACCUUAUCUUAGCGGCGGACGGGUGAGUAAUGCUUAGGAAUCUGCCUAUUAGUGGGGGACAACAUUCCGAAAGGAAUGCUAAUACCGCAUACGCCCUACGGGGGAAAGCAGGGGAUCUUCGGACCUUGCGCUAAUAGAUGAGCCUAAGUCGGAUUAGCUAGUUGGUGGGGUAAAGGCCUACCAAGGCGACGAUCUGUAGCGGGUCUGAGAGGAUGAUCCGCCACACUGGGACUGAGACACGGCCCAGACUCCUACGGGAGGCAGCAGUGGGGAAUAUUGGACAAUGGGCGGAAGCCUGAUCCAGCCAUGCCGCGUGUGUGAAGAAGGCCUUUUGGUUGUAAAGCACUUUAAGCGAGGAGGAGGCUACUUAGAUUAAUACUCUAGGAUAGUGGACGUUACUCGCAGAAUAAGCACCGGCUAACUCUGUGCCAGCAGCCGCGGUAAUACAGAGGGUGCGAGCGUUAAUCGGAUUUACUGGGCGUAAAGCGUGCGUAGGCGGCUGAUUAAGUCGGAUGUGAAAUCCCUGAGCUUAACUUAGGAAUUGCAUUCGAUACUGGUCAGCUAGAGUAUGGGAGAGGAUGGUAGAAUUCCAGGUGUAGCGGUGAAAUGCGUAGAGAUCUGGAGGAAUACCGAUGGCGAAGGCAGCCAUCUGGCCUAAUACUGACGCUGAGGUACGAAAGCAUGGGGAGCAAACAGGAUUAGAUACCCUGGUAGUCCAUGCCGUAAACGAUGUCUACUAGCCGUUGGGGCCUUUGAGGCUUUAGUGGCGCAGCUAACGCGAUAAGUAGACCGCCUGGGGAGUACGGUCGCAAGACUAAAACUCAAAUGAAUUGACGGGGGCCCGCACAAGCGGUGGAGCAUGUGGUUUAAUUCGAUGCAACGCGAAGAACCUUACCUGGCCUUGACAUACUAGAAACUUUCCAGAGAUGGAUUGGUGCCUUCGGGAAUCUAGAUACAGGUGCUGCAUGGCUGUCGUCAGCUCGUGUCGUGAGAUGUUGGGUUAAGUCCCGCAACGAGCGCAACCCUUUUCCUUACUUGCCAGCAUUUCGGAUGGGAACUUUAAGGAUACUGCCAGUGACAAACUGGAGGAAGGCGGGGACGACGUCAAGUCAUCAUGGCCCUUACGGCCAGGGCUACACACGUGCUACAAUGGUCGGUACAAAGGGUUGCUACCUAGCGAUAGGAUGCUAAUCUCAAAAAGCCGAUCGUAGUCCGGAUUGGAGUCUGCAACUCGACUCCAUGAAGUCGGAAUCGCUAGUAAUCGCGGAUCAGAAUGCCGCGGUGAAUACGUUCCCGGGCCUUGUACACACCGCCCGUCACACCAUGGGAGUUUGUUGCACCAGAAGUAGGUAGUCUAACCGCAAGGAGGACGCUUACCACGGUGUGGCCGAUGACUGGGGUGAAGUCGUAACAAGGUAGCCGUAGGGGAACCUGCGGCUGGAUCACCUCCUUAA
rnacentral:rRNA from 1 species